AUUUAAAUAGCUUAUUUAGAGCAUAACACUGAAGAUGUUAAGGAAUAUUUUAUAUUUUAGAUA
rnacentral:tRNA from 1 species